AAAAUAAAAGUAUGAUGUGAGGUUAGUGAGAUUUUUUUUUUUUUUGAUGGAAAUGAGAAAAAGUAAAUGAGGUAGUUUACAUUUUAUUACUUAGUGUGACAUGUUUGACACGCCUUCUAUCCAAAACAUAAGCGUUUUUUUGUCUUUAAUCAAAAAUAAACCGUUUCAAAUCACUAACUCUCGAUUGUCAACAAAUGUAGUUUUAUUCGCUUUCUAGUGAUCACGUCAUUCACUUUAGUUCAUUAAGAUCAAACAGAAAAGAGGAUUUUUGAAGACCAUCACUACCACAAAUUAACUAUUAACUGUUCAAAAACAUUUGACUUUCAUAAUGCUAUGGUAC
rnacentral:sRNA from 1 species